CCCCUCUCAGGAUUGCACCUGGAGAGUUUCCGAUACUCUAUCAGUCUCGGCUACUGGAGGGAGAGUCAAGCAGAGGCUGAGUCAAGCAGAGGCCUACCCAUUCCACUUCUAGCUUAAGAAGUGGUUAGUAAGUGGAAGACAAUCUGCUACAAGU
rnacentral:snoRNA from 1 species